rnacentral:tRNA from 1 species
GGAUGGGUGGCCGAGUGGUUUAAGGCAGCAGUCUUGAAAACUGCCGAAGUCUCAAUGGCUUCCGUGGGUUCGAAUCCCACCCCAUCCGCCA